GCCCGGGUGGCUCAGUCGGUUGAGUGUCUGACUUUGGCUCAGUUCAUGAUCUCACCGGUCGUGGGUUCGAGCCCCACGUCAAGCU
rnacentral:tRNA from 1 species